CAGGUGGCCAGGCCACCACUCUCCACCAUGGCCUUGGAGAUGCUUUUGAAGUUACGGAAGAGCUCCUGCUGCUGAGGGUUGGACUGCAGGCUGGCCAUGGUUUCUCGGAUCCGUGUUGCAGCCUGGGGAGAAGGAAGGAGAGGGUCAGGCCUGUAUCUUGAAUGCCUACUUGUAGUGGGUAGCUUCAAGGCUCACCUCAAUGCACCAGCUAUCACAGAGCAUUUUCUCAUGCUGUGCUGUCGGGUAGCCCUCACUCAGGGAUCGUGAGGCUCUGUAAGGAAACAGGAGGUUGGAAUAAUCCUGAGUGCUGGUGCUGGUGCUGGUGCUGGCCCAGCUACUCUGUGCCUCAAAUCCGCCAAGCUUCCCACUCUGUCUUCUUACCUGGAGAGAACUACCACCAUGGCAUAGAGGUCAAUGGCUCCGUCUGCCAGUCGCUGCAGCAGGAACUGUUCAUCUGUCAGCUUCGCCUCCACUACGGUGGCAAAUUGAUCCAGAGCCUGCACUGCCUGAAGAGAGAGUCAGAGCUCAGGAGAGGAAGGCAGCGCACCGCCGCCGGCUCUGCUUUAUGGCUCACUCACUCACCAGUUCACCGCUGCGACUUAACUCUGGGUGGACAAUUCCUGAGAGACUCAAACCACUGCCAAUUCCUGUCCGCCUAGGAGGAGAUGGAAGAGUGAUUGGUCAGCUGUGGCCUACCAUCUCGCCUGGCCCCGGCCCGGCCCUGAGCUUACCGCCUCAGCUGUUUGCCUGCUUCUCCCAUCAGGAGGCCAACGUUUCCAAGAGGGUUCUUUAGGGCAUUACCAAGCCCACCUUGUAGAGCCACAAACAGUCGAAGAAUGUCAUUUGCCCCUUCAAAGAUCCGGAAGAUUCGAAUAUCUCUGAGCACGCGCUCUACCCCUGGUUCCUGGCCCACAGGAAGACACGUAAACCUCUGUUGAGAUGUGCCUGCCCACUCUGAACAGCCCCCGCUGAGGAGUACUCUACCUUCAUGAAGCCCAUGCCCCCCAUUAUCUGGAUGCACUCAUCUGCCACUUUCCAGGCCGCCUCCUGAGGACAGAGAACCAGAUGAGUUUGGUUUUGGAGCUGAGGUCCAAACUGGACUCCGCCCUUCCAUCAUGCCUGGGUCCUCACCGAGCCAAAGAUUUUGCUGAUGGCGGCUUCUAUCUGAAAGUCUUUGAAUCCCUGGUCCAUGUUGGCACUCAGCAUGUAAGCCAUGGACUGUGAGGGGGAAUGGUUGGGACAUGGGAAAGAAAACAGGAAAGGGCUGCAUCAGACAGAAUGGCUGAUACUCAAACCUUCAAGACCAGCUCUGACCUACUCCCCCAACCCUUGAAUUCACUUUAACACCCUGGUCAGACCAAACACGUCCAACGUUUGACCCUCUGAUUCGGUAAAUCAGGGGCUUCGAGGCUUCAGACUUUUUAAAGGGGUGGGUUAAAAUUAGUGUUUGGUACACAUCUGGGAAGCACUUAGCAGAGCAGCACCACUCUCCAGAAGAGAACUGACUAUGCCUCCUCGCAUCCCCUAGGGCAUUGGUGUAAAGCUGGAGACCCACUGCCCCAGGUGCUGCUGGGGGUUGUAGUCUGACCCAACUGUGAAGAAAGUCAUAGGGCUUCAGGGAAGGGGCAUAGGAGGCCCUUACCUCAGUCACAUACUGCAGAAUUGCCAUUCGAGCCAGCUUUUCCUGGAUCACCCCAAAGUUGUGAAUUUUGUCCCCAAACUGGGUACGAUUGGUAGCAUGAUCAACCUGAAAGAAGGCGCGUGUAACCCCA